AUUGCAGCUGCAGCUUGAGUUCCCGGUAAAGCCUAUGAAGUGAGACGGUGCAGAGGAAAAGAUAACGGUAUUCAUUCACCCCUGGCACAGGGACGUCCUACGCGAAAAGUGCUGCAGGCUCCCUGAUGGCAGCACGGACAGCAGCCGGUUGUUGCUGGAAUCCCAUGCGAUCUUCCUGGCUAUGGAUCAUUUCAUGUAUAUGUCCUGUUGGUUGAGUAGACCAUCCUCCCAAGGACCAACUGGUCCCAUCAAAUGCAGAUCCUCAUCCAGGUCAUCUUCCCGAGUACCCAGUACGUCACCACGUCAUCGCCUGGCUCCUGUGGUCACAUUUAUGGGAUUUUAGGGCUUCCAUUGGCCCAGGGUGUGGCUGAGGGAUUCCUCGAAGGAAGUGCUAGAAGGUAACACUGCAUUUAAUCUUAGACCAAAGACCUUUAAAUAGCACAGCGUGCACAUUUGUUAUAGUCACAGAGUCUAGCUGCACAAGGGGAAAGGGUUUAGAUAUGGAUUAAUUCCCUCUUUACGUGGAUGGCUUUUUAUCUACUGAAAACAGGCCACAGCUUACUGUAACCACUUGAGGCAGCAGUUUGUAUUUAUCAAGUGUAUAGUUUCUUGCAAUUCUUAAAUAUAUGUGAGUUCUAGUCUUAUGAAUGUCCAUUUCUACUGGACAAGCUGGAGUUUUGAGACACAUAUAAUAAGCUCUUUUUUCCAGACUUUCAUUUGAAUGUCAUCAUUAGGCGGCAAAGUUAGAACCACAAGGCCUCAAAAUGUGUACCAGAAGUGGGUUAAGGAAAAGAAGAUUCAACCUUGUAGUAAACCUGCCAAUAUAGUGCCACCUCAUCACUAUAAAUAUGUGUACAUACCCUACUAAUUUGGUUUUCCAAAUGCAGUUUGGAGGACAAGUAAUUGUUGCCUUGAUUCUGUUCACUGACAGUAGUUGGUUCAGUGCAUCUGAUAUGUGACAUCUAUAUCUCAGUGGUCACAGGGGAAGCUUGGGUGUGUGGUUAAGUUCACAAUUUAGAAAGUGUAGAGUAGGAUUUUGGUCCUUUUUCCCACAGUUUUUAAGAUGUCAUCAACUACCAAAGGGUUGUGGUUUUGUCAUAAAUUUUACGAAAUAUUAAACAGUCCUGUUUUUACUUGGUUUGCUCAUUAUGUUUAUACUGCUUACUAUUGUUCCCACUGUGCUCUAGUCUUUAGCUUUCCAGCUUCAAUAGUAGGUAGAAGCAGUACGGCACCCUGUGGCUGUUUCAGCAAGACAGUGCCUAUCCCCACUGUCCCACUUCUGGAUCGGGAGUAUAAUCAGACACUUCCCUCGCUUUAACAUUUAGUACUGAUAUGUCUCCAAUUAUAUAUGCCAACUGCAAUCAAGCGUUUGCAAUAACUGGCACAAGUGUUUAACAUCGCAGUGGAGGAAUUUUGGCCACCUUAUCUUUCCAGAAUUGUUUUAAUUUAGUCCCACUAGAGGAUUUUUAGCAUGAAUAGCUUUUUUUAAUGUUAUGCCAAAGCAUCCUAAUCAGAUUUAAGUUUGAACUUUGACUAGGCCAUUCCAAAACCUUAAUUUUGUUUUCUUUUUUUAGCCAUUUAAUGGUGAACUUGCUUAUGUUUUUUUUAUCAUUAUUCUGUUGCAUAAUCCAAGUGUACUUGAGCUUGAAGAUUUGAAACGAUAACUGGACUUUAGGAUUUUCUGGUACAGAGAAGAAUUCAUGGUUCCAGUUACAGCAGAAGCAGCGGACCAUCACACUACCACCACCGUGUUUCACUGCUGGUUUGAUAUUCUUUUAAUGAAAUGCUGUGUUAGUUCUACACCCUAACCCUUUUCGUAAUCCAUGGAUGACAUUUUUGCCCAGUCUCUUUCUUAUUGUUAAAUCAUGAAAACUUUGACUGAUUUUAACUAAAACAAGUGAGGCAUGCACUUCUUUACAGUAUGUUCUGGGUUCUUCUGUGACCUCUUGGAUGAGCUGUUGAGGUGAUCUUGGAGUAAUUUUGGUAGGCUAGCCACUCCUGGGAACCUUCCUCAGUGUUUUCUAUUUGUGGAUAAUGGUUUUCUGACAUCUCAAAGCUUUAGAAACAUCUUUGUAACCCUUUACAAGCGGAUAGAUUUCAGUUACUUUGUUUCCCAUUUGUUCUUUAUUUAUUUAGAUCAGGGGUGGGGAACUCCAGGCC